GUAACACCCGAAGCCGGUGGAGUAACCUUUUAGGAGCUAGCCGUCGAAGGUGGGACAAAUGAUUGGGGUGAAGUCGUAACAAGGUAGCCGUAUCGGAAGGUGCGGCUGGAUCACCUCCUUUCUAAGGAUAUAUUCGGAACAUCUUCUUCAGAAGAUGCGGAAUAACGUGACAUAUUGUAUUCAGUUUUGAAUGUUUGCCCAAACCAACAAGCUUGCUUGUUGGGGUUGUAGGACACUCUAUACGGAGUUACAAAGGACGACAUUAGACGAAUCAUCUGGAAAGAUGAAUCAAAGAAGGUAAUAAUCCUGUAGUCGAAAAUGUUGUCUCUCUUGAGUGGAUCCUGAGUACGACGGAGCACGUGAAAUUCCGUCGGAAUCUGGGAGGACCAUCUCCUAAGGCUAAAUACUCUCUAGUGACCGAUAGUGAACCAGUACCGUGAGGGAAAGGUGAAAAGCACCCCGGAAGGGGAGUGAAAUAGAACCUGAAACCGUGUGCUUACAAGUAGUCAGAGCCCGUUAAUGGGUGAUGGCGUGCCUUUUGUAGAAUGAACCGGCGAGUUACGAUUUGAUGCAAGGUUAAGCAGUAAAUGUGGAGCCGUAGCGAAAGCGAGUCUGAAUAGGGCGUUUAGUAUUUGGUCGUAGACCCGAAACCAGGUGAUCUACCCUUGGUCAGGUUGAAGUUCAGGUAACACUGAAUGGAGGACCGAACCGACUUACGUUGAAAAGUGAGCGGAUGAACUGAGGGUAGCGGAGAAAUUCCAAUCGAACCUGGAGAUAGCUGGUUCUCUCCGAAAUAGCUUUAGGGCUAGCCUCAAGUGAUGAUUAUUGGAGGUAGAGCACUGUUUGGACGAGGGGCCCCUCUCGGGUUACCGAAUUCAGACAAACUCCGAAUGCCAAUUAAUUUAACUUGGGAGUCAGAACAUGGGUGAUAAGGUCCGUGUUCGAAAGGGAAACAGCCCAGACCACCAGCUAAGGUCCCAAAAUAUAUGUUAAGUGGAAAAGGAUGUGGCGUUGCCCAGACAACUAGGAUGUUGGCUUAGAAGCAGCCAUCAUUUAAAGAGUGCGUAAUAGCUCACUAGUCGAGUGACACUGCGCCGAAAAUGUACCGGGGCUAAACAUAUUACCGAAGCUGUGGAUUGUCCUUUGGACAAUGGUAGGAGAGCGUUCUAAGGGCGUUGAAGCAUGAUCGUAAGGACAUGUGGAGCGCUUAGAAGUGAGAAUGCCGGUGUGAGUAGCGAAAGACGGGUGAGAAUCCCGUCCACCGAUUGACUAAGGUUUCCAGAGGAAGGCUCGUCCGCUCUGGGUUAGUCGGGUCCUAAGCUGAGGCCGACAGGCGUAGGCGAUGGAUAACAGGUUGAUAUUCCUGUACCACCUAUAAUCGUUUUAAUCGAUGGGGGGACGCAGUAGGAUAGGCGAAGCGUGCGAUUGGAUUGCACGUCUAAGCAGUAAGGCUGAGUAUUAGGCAAAUCCGGUACUCGUUAAGGCUGAGCUGUGAUGGGGAGAAGACAUUGUGUCUUCGAGUCGUUGAUUUCACACUGCCGAGAAAAGCCUCUAGAUAGAAAAUAGGUGCCCGUACCGCAAACCGACACAGGUAGUCAAGAUGAGAAUUCUAAGGUGAGCGAGCGAACUCUCGUUAAGGAACUCGGCAAAAUGACCCCGUAACUUCGGGAGAAGGGGUGCUCUUUAGGGUUAACGCCCAGAAGAGCCGCAGUGAAUAGGCCCAAGCGACUGUUUAUCAAAAACACAGGUCUCUGCUAAACCGUAAGGUGAUGUAUAGGGGCUGACGCCUGCCCGGUGCUGGAAGGUUAAGAGGAGUGGUUAGCUUCUGCGAAGCUACGAAUCGAAGCCCCAGUAAACGGCGGCCGUAACUAUAACGGUCCUAAGGUAGCGAAAUUCCUUGUCGGGUAAGUUCCGACCCGCACGAAAGGCGUAACGAUUUGGGCACUGUCUCAACGAGAGACUCGGUGAAAUCAUAGUACCUGUGAAGAUGCAGGUUACCCGCGACAGGACGGAAAGACCCCGUGGAGCUUUACUGUAGCCUGAUAUUGAAAUUCGGCACAGCUUGUACAGGAUAGGUAGGAGCCUUUGAAACGUGAGCGCUAGCUUACGUGGAGGCGCUGGUGGGAUACUACCCUAGCUGUGUUGGCUUUCUAACCCGCACCACUUAUCGUGGUGGGAGACAGUGUCAGGCGGGCAGUUUGACUGGGGCGGUCGCCUCCUAAAAGGUAACGGAGGCGCUCAAAGGUUCCCUCAGAAUGGUUGGAAAUCAUUCAUAGAGUGUAAAGGCAUAAGGGAGCUUGACUGCGAGACCUACAAGUCGAGCAGGGUCGAAAGACGGACUUAGUGAUCCGGUGGUUCCGCAUGGAAGGGCCAUCGCUCAACGGAUAAAAGCUACCCCGGGGAUAACAGGCUUAUCUCCCCCAAGAGUUCACAUCGACGGGGAGGUUUGGCACCUCGAUGUCGGCUCAUCGCAUCCUGGGGCUGUAGUCGGUCCCAAGGGUUGGGCUGUUCGCCCAUUAAAGCGGUACGCGAGCUGGGUUCAGAACGUCGUGAGACAGUUCGGUCCCUAUCCGUCGUGGGCGUAGGAAAUUUGAGAGGAGCUGUCCUUAGUACGAGAGGACCGGGAUGGACAUACCUCUGGUGUACCAGUUGUCGUGCCAACGGCAUAGCUGGGUAGCUAUGUGUGGACGGGAUAAGUGCUGAAAGCAUCUAAGCAUGAAGCCCCCCUCAAGAUGAGAUUUCCCAACUUCGGUUAUAAGAUCCCUCAAAGAUGAUGAGGUUAAUAGGUUCGAGGUGGAAGCAUGGUGACAUGUGGAGCUGACGAAUACUAAUCGAUCGAAGACUUAAUCAA
rnacentral:rRNA from 1 species